AUUCCAGCUCCAAUAGCGUAUAUUAAAGUUGUUGCAGUUAAAAAGCUCGUAGUCUGACCGUUGUCCUGGCAUUGAGCGUCCGUGGUUACUGAUCAUGUGUACGCGAGGUGCUGGACACUACCUUCGGAGGAGCGUUCGUGCUUUUAACUAAGUGCGUGCGGGAUUCCGAUAGUUUACUUUGAGAAAAAUAGAGUGUUCAAAGCAGGCGUUUGCCUUGAGUACAUUAGCAUGGGAUAAUGAAAUAGGACGUUGGUUCUAUUUUGAUGGUUUACGGACCGACGUAAUGAUUAAUAGGGACAGUUGGGGACAUUUAUAUUCCAUGGCUAGAGGUGAAAUUCUUGGAUUCAUGGAAGAUAAACUACUGCGAAAGCAUUUGUCAAAGAUGUUUUCAUUA
rnacentral:rRNA from 1 species